AUCUCCUGAUCGCGCCGCGGCGACAAUUACCGCGAGCGUGAUCGUUGAAUCAUCGGCCGGACUCGCGCGUUCUCCCGCGCGGCAUGCAACAGCUUCGCUCGUCGGCGCGUCGCAAUCUCGUCGUUAUCUCGAGACGGCGCGGCCGAGUGCGAGCGAGAGGACAGAUCGAAUUUUCUCAGCGACCGGCGGCGAAUACGUGGCGGUAGCCGAUAACCGAAUGACGCCGCCGCCGCCGCCGCCGCCGCCGCCGCCGCCACCGCUGCCGCCGUACGGUACGUAGAGAGAAGAAAUCAAAUGAGUGAUUGAAAUAGUCACGGAGCGUCGUCUCAAACUGCCCGCGGAUUUGAUUCCUCGCUUUCGCUCGUGGGAACAUCGCGGAGAGGCCAGCGAGCGUAGCGCGAACAUAUCGCGACGGACGAUUUAACCUCCCCUGCGUGUGAGUCUUUGUAUUAGCGUCGUGUCGUGAAUUCUGAUUGGUGUAAAAAUUGGUACGACCUUGUCGUUGACGUUUCUCGCUUAUUAGAUCUCAAGAGCCGCGGUUUGAUAUUUUUGCAAGUCGUCGAUUAGACGUUUGUAUACGUCCCGUUAUUAAAUCAUUGUAUUUAGCAUUAAGUUACAUUUACAUAUUUAAAUCUAUUUGAUAUCAUAUCGCAUACAGUAUCAUGUCUUAUAUUUUGAUUUUAGUUUCUCUGUUUAUGAGAAACGAACAGUUUUUACUAUUCGGUGUGCAAAACACGGUAAUGGUCGAGUAUAGAUUGACGUUAAAUGUGUGCAAAGGACGAUUAUUUAUUAUAGCAUAAUAGACAGUAUUUAUUUUGAUAUUAUAUCAAUAUGAUACUUUUGCCGUUAGUAAUGAUAUUUUGUUACUGCUUCGUUUUGUUUUGUUGCAAGCGUUACGAGAGAGCGCCGGAGAAAAGUCACACAAGCGAGCGUGUUAUCGCGAAUUAUACAUACGCGAGAGAAAAUACCUCAAUUGUGAUGGCUUCGGGAACGCGGUCGAAGCCACCCCGCCGCAGUCAGCACAGCAUUAUUUGGCUCCAACAAUGGCGCUCCGUCGUACGGGAAGGAUUAAAAGGAUUGAACGCUCGGCAAAAAUCCGCGCGAGAGAUCGAGGCCUCCCGGACGCACGACGACAGCGCCAACCAUUUAUCUAUCGCCUCGGUGUGUGCGACUUCCUCGCACGAGUCGGCUGUUUUUCCAUCAUGGUGUCUUCGCUCGGGACGAGGAGGGAAGAAGGAAGGAGAAAUGUAUCGAAGGAAAGGCACUUGAUCUCCAAGGCUGAGCUCGACUUCGCCGACACCCCGUGUGCUCUCCGAAAUCGCUUAUCGCGCGAUGGCGCGCGCGAGAUAGAGGGGACGGACAAUAAAAUCGUCACGUUUAACAUAAUCGUCGUAGCAGGUAUCGGCAGAUAUCGUGUGACAUGUAUUUGUGCGGGUCCACGGAUCAAGCGAACGAGGAUUAAGGAUGAUCCAGAGAAAUCACACAAGUCCGGGCGUGGAGGUCGCGACUGUUCCGUUGUCAUGUGGAUUAAAAGGUCGACGUUCCGAAAAUUCGGAGUCUGGGAUGACCUGAGAUGACCCCCACCGUCGUCGUCGUCGUCGUCGUCGAGAAAGCUUCUUUCGAGAUUGCGUAACGGGCAGCUUGUGCUACUUCGAUAACGCACGACGCGGCUUUGCCGUUGCCGCGCGCGCGUGUGCUGCGCAGAGAUAUUUAUUAAGGGGGAACACCACUUUGACGGGCCCAAAAAAGGCCCGUUUUCACGAAUUUUUUUUACUGCUUACUUUUUGCUACUACUUUACUUUACUUAAUGAAUUAUUUAAGGAUUGGGGGAUGAGUAUAUUAUUAAGGAUACUUCGAAGUAAUUUUAUACAAAUUUUUAUUGAAACAUAAUAGAAAUUAACAAAGAUAUAUACAACAGAGUGCCGGUCCGUAAAAUAUUCUUCUUCCAACGGUGGGAUCGAUAUCUCUGGCACCUGGUUCAUCUGAAAAAGAAAAUCAAAUAUUUUCUUAAUCUGCAUAAAUGUAGUUUUCGUUGGGAGCAGCCAUUUCUUUUAAUUAAUUUUUCUCAAAAUAGCGGCACGUUAAACAAAACGCCUCGAUUUUUCUAACAUUCCCAACAUUUUUUCUUCAUUCAAGGGGCCUUAAAAAUAAUAAUUUUCAAAAUAAAAAGCUUCAAAGUGUCUUUAGCAAUAUACUCUUCCCCCAAUCCUUAAAUAAUUCAUUAAGUAGUAAAAACAUUCGUGAAAAAGGGCCUCUUUUUGGGCUCGUCACAGUGGUGUUUCCCCCCUUAAUAAAGCUUGUUUCACGCCGCGCGCACGCUACGACGGGAAUGAAUAUGAUUCCGAAUUGAGUAAUCGCGCGACGGGCGCUCUAUAAUUUGACGAUGUAAAAAUUUAACGAGGAAUAUAAUGAGCCGCGUGCACGUUCAAUCGAGUAAACGCGACGCGCGCUGGAAUAAACGAGAACGCGCGAAAAUAGUGUUUACGCAUUUCAAAUAUUACGUUCCUUCGGUUUCGGGCCAUUUUAUUCGCGGUGUCAUUCGGAAGAAGGAAAACAAUCACAACCGGUCCCUGCGGUAAAGGCCCUGCUUUUUGCAGCAACGCAUUCGCUCUUCUAAGUUGUUUGGCUCGAUAACAAAUUAUUCUGACAUGCAUACAUACAAAAUAUAUAAAAUACGUAAUAUACAUAUAUAUAUAUAUAUAUAAUGUAUAUGCAUAAAAUUUAUAUAAUAAAUUUUACAUACAUCAGAAUACGAGAGAACUUGUUACGUCGCACAGCGGUGAAUUUCAAUGAAAUUAUGGCCAAAACUUAAAAAAUGAAAGUAGACUUUAAGAAUUGAAAUGUAUGCUAACUUUAAGUUGAAUAAACAGAGAAGAUAA
rnacentral:lncRNA from 1 species